AAAGAAGUCCCAGUCAAAGACAUGAAAAAUUACUUUCGAUUCCUUCACUCCAAAUGUCACAUCCACAGGGUUCGUGAUAUGAUUAUACUGCACAAACUCUUCAGUGGGAUCUAUCCACAACUGAGUGUGUAGUGAUGAAUCAUUUUCUUUUGUUGGGUCUAUAUAACUUCUGAGCUCAACAGCUUUGCCUCCAAUUUCAGUUGCAGUAUCAGGAGGUAAGCAAGUUGGAUUGGUAGCAAUGAUUGUGAUCUCUUGGAGAGUUGUUUGGAAGUUUGACAGUAACCUGUUCAG
rnacentral:misc_RNA from 1 species